rnacentral:rRNA from 1 species
AGGAGGAAGGAAUGGGCAACGGUAGGUCAGCAUGCCCCGAAUUAAUUGGGCUACACGCGGGCUACAAUGGGUGGGACAAUGGGUAUCGACACCGAAAGGUGAAGGCAAUCUCCUAAACCCAUCCGUAGUUCGGAUUGUGGGCUGCAACUCGCCCACAUGAAGCUGGAAUCUGUAGUAAUCGUGUUUCAAAAUAGCACGGUGAAUAUGUCCCUGCUCCUU